rnacentral:lncRNA from 1 species
AGUGGGCGUGCAGGAGAAGCUGUAGGUCAGGAGGUAGAGUUGGCAGUGGGCGUGCAGGAGAAGCUGUAGGUCGGAGAGGUAGAGUUGGCAGUGGGCGUGCAGGAGAAGCUGUAGGUCGGAGAGGUAGAGGUGGCAGUGGGCGUGCAGGAGAAGCUGUAGGUCGGGAGGUAGAGGUGGCAGUGGGCGUGCAGGAGAAGCUGUAGGUCAGAGUGGAGAGGUGGCAGUGGGCGUGCAGGAGAAGCUGUAGGUCAGGGGGUAGAGGUGGCAGUGGGCGUGCAGGAGAAGCUGUAGGUCAGGGGGUAGAGGUGGCAGUGGGCGUGCAGGAGAAGCUGUAGGUCAGGAGGUAGAGGUGGCAGUGGGCGUGCAGGAGAAGGUGUAGGUCAGGGGGUAGAGGUGGCAGUGGGCGUGCAGGAGAAGCUGUAGGUCGGGAGGUAGAGGUGGCAGUGGGCGUGCAGGAGAAGCUGUAGGUC